rnacentral:rRNA from 1 species
UGAACGCUAGCUACAGGCUUAACACAUGCAAGUCGAGGGGAAACGGCAUCGAAAGCUUGCUUUUGAUGGGCGUCGACCGGCGCACGGGUGAGUAACGCGUAUCCAACCUGCCCAUCACUUGGGAAUAACCUUGCGAAAGUAAGACUAAUGCCCAAUGACAUCCCACGAAGGCAUCCGAAUGGGAUUAAAGAUUUAUCGGUGAUGGAUGGGGAUGCGUCUGAUUAGCUUGUUGGCGGGGUGACGGCCCACCAAGGCAACGAUCAGUAGGGGUUCUGAGAGGAAGGUCCCCCACAUUGGAACUGAGACACGGUCCAAACUCCUACGGGAGGCAGCAGUGAGGAAUAUUGGUCAAUGGGCGAGAGCCUGAACCAGCCAAGUAGCGUGCAGGAUGACGGCCCUAUGGGUUGUAAACUGCUUUUAUAAGGGAAUAAAGUGGGUCACGUGUGACUUUUUGCAUGUACCUUAUGAAUAAGGACCGGCUAAUUCCGUG